UACGUAGGGUGCGAGCGUUGUCCGGAAUUAUUGGGCGUAAAGAGCUUGUAGGCGGUUUGUCGCGUCUGCUGUGAAAAUCCGGGGCUCAACCCCGGACUUGCAGUGGGUACGGGCAGACUAGAGUGCGGUAGGGGAGAUUGGAAUUCCUGGUGUAGCGGUGGAAUGCGCAGAUAUCAGGAGGAACACCGAUGGCGAAGGCAGAAUCUCUGGGCCGUAACUGACGCUGAGGAGCGAAAGCAUGGGGAGCGAACAGG
rnacentral:rRNA from 1 species